rnacentral:misc_RNA from 1 species
CCUAACUCAAAAACCUCCCCGAAGGUUGUUCAUUAGCUUCUCUGAAGCUAACACAAGAAAGAGCCGCCAUUUUUGCUCUUGCAGCUCAAUUAAUUACCAACCAUGCCAAAGUCCAAGCGUAACAGAGCAGUUUCGCUGACAAAAACCAAGAAGAAAGGGAGAGAACACAAGGAGACGAUAGUGAAUUCGAUAAGGGAAGCGGUGGAAAACU